rnacentral:rRNA from 1 species
UACAGAGGUGGCAAGCGUUGUUCGGAAUUACUGGGCGUAAAGGGCGCGUAGGCGGCCGCCUAAGUCAGACGUGAAAUCCCCAAGCUUAACUUGGGAACUGCGUCUGAUACUGGGUGGCUUGAGUUCGGGAGAGGAAUGUGGAAUUCCAGGUGUAGCGGUGAAAUGCGUAGAUAUCUGGAGGAACACGGGUGGCGAAGGCGGCAUUCUGGACUACAACUGACACUGAGGAACGAAAGCCAGGGGAGCAAACGGG